GCAAGUCGAACGGUAACAGGGAAUAGCUUGCUAUUUUGCUGACGAGUGGCGGACGGGUGAGUAAUGCUUGGGAAUUUGCCUUGUUGUGGGGGACAACAGUUGGAAACGACUGCUAAUACCGCAUAAUCUCUUAGGAGCAAAGGUGGCCUCUAUUUAUAUGCUAUCGCAACAAGAUGAGCCCAAGUGGGAUUAGCUAGUUGGUGGGGUAAAGGCUCACCAAGGCGACGAUCCCUAGCUGGUCUGAGAGGAUGAUC
rnacentral:rRNA from 1 species